ACAGCUUUAUUCUACGUCACUUUUUGCCCACCUUGCAGUUGCAUAUAUAGGAUCUUCAACUUAUAUUUUACCUAUACAAAAUUUCACAUGUAUAUUUAUGGCCAUUUUUCCCCCUAAUAUAUGUUUACUAUAUUUUAAUUUAAUAGCAGCUUUCCAACUAAUCAUAGGUGGAAAAAAGACUCGGAUAGUUGAUAAAUAGAGCUGUAAAUUUGAUAGGCUCUUAAUUAUUGAUUCCGAC
rnacentral:lncRNA from 1 species